AUGACGCGGAGGACCUCGGGGGGCGCAUCCGUCCGCUCUGUCUCUGCUCCAGCCCAGGACCUCCAUCACCGCCGCGAUCUUCUGCAGCUCCUGCCGGGCCGAUGGGUCCGACGGGUCCGUGGAGGCCACGAUGGCCACGAACUCGGGGUGCUCCAGCCCCCUCGUCGCCGGGCUCCCCGUGUGGCCGCGGCGGGCCGUCCGCAGCGUCGCCGUCGGCGGGCUCCUGUCCCCCGCGGCUCGCACGCCAAGCAGGGCCGCCAGGUCCGGGACGGCCUCCCGCCCCGGGGCUCCUGCUCGGCUCCGUGGGUCACCGUCCCCAGGGCCAGGAACUCGCGGGGCCCCUCUCCUGCGCGCUCGGCAGGGCCCACUCCUUCCUGCUCAGCUCCUGGGCGGCCUCGUGCAGCGCGGCGGACAGCGCGCUCGGAGCCUCGGCGGCGCUCUCGCUCGGGUCGCCCUGCUCCGGCCCCUGCAGCACGACCCCCAGGCUGCCCUGGGCAGAGGCGUCCGAGGCGUCCGACUCCCGCCUGGCGUCCGUGGGCCGCCCUCCCCGCUCGGCCUGCCUGCCCCCCUGGGACCCCCUGCUGCCUCUGCCUCUGUUUCUGCGCCCCCGGCGGCCCCUCCUCGCAGGGGACCAGCCUUCCUGGCGGCGGGCUCUGCGCCCUGGGCCCGGGUCUCCGAGGAGGCCGAGGCUGCAGACGGGACACUGUCCCCGGGGCCCCCGGGCCCUGCGGCCUGCCGGGGCUCCUCAUCCAGCAGGAGGCGUCUCAUCUGCCUCAGGACUCCUGUGUCCUCGGCCGGGUCCUGACACACAACCCUCCGGACGCCGUCGCCGUCGGUGCCCGGGAUCUCCCUGGGGACGCGCGCGGGUUGAUGUCCUCCACAAACUCCACCAGGGCAGCCUUGGCCUUGUGGUCUGUCGCCGCCCGGGUGUUCCACAGCCUGAAGGUGCCCAGGGGCAGGAAGGCCGGCUGCAAGAGGCUUCGAUGGCUGCCCUCUCCAGACUGUCACCGGGAUGCCGGUGACAGCAGGUCCGGUGCGCGUCCACAUGCAGCCCCUGGCACCAGUCCCGCAACAGGCUGGUGGCCAUGGACAUGCUCAAAGAGAACAACAGAAUGCAGAUGUGAAGGGGAGACGGUCUGCCUGGCUGUCCCACGAGGGGGACCUCCGGAGACAUUCCUGGUCCCCUGGUGGGGGUGACUAUGGGCGAAGGGGUUGACAGAUAUGGGGACAGUUGAAGUAGAUAGAGGGGGUUAUUUGGAGUGGGGCUGCCUACACUCCCACCCCUCACUCCCUAACCCUGCACUGCUCCUGGCUACUUACCUCUAAGUGCCAUUUAGGUGCCUAAAAAUGAGGAUUGUGUUCUCUUAGAGGCUUCAGGAAGAUGGAAGAGGUGGGGAACACAGGUGCCACAGCUCAAGGAAGCUGACACCCCCUCCUUGCUCUUGGGGAGCAGGAGAGCUUUGUCUACUGUGCUGGGAGCCCCCACUCUUUGCUUCCUGCCAUUGUAGGACCUGGAACUUCCCCAAGAGCAGGGAGAGAGUUGAGGGACGGAGGCCCAGGCUGGGCACUGCGGUCUCAGGUUCAAGGAUUAGAUCUAACUCACCGCCUGGGAACUGAAGGGACUGGUGCUGGAGGUUUGCUCAGUUCAAGGUGCGCCAUUGGGCUCCUGCCAGCUCACGUCAUAAUCACACCAACACCACUAACUCACACACACAGACCGAUACACUCACAAAAACACCUCACACACACACUCACCUCUAACAGACAUCACACACACUUGCUCACACACACGCUGGUACCCAUAGAGGCUAACUGACACACACUUGGACUGAACCACUCUAUUCCCCCCUCCGCACACAUGCACACACACACACACCAGGAGACACACAGAAACCCAUUCACCAACACCGAGAGACCGUCCCACUCAUACCCGCAGAGGGAUGCAGUCAUCGUCACACACAGCACUGGCUCCAUCCCCCUCAGCCCCGUGAAGAAGCACCCACACCCACAUCUACAGGCAUGUGAACAAAAGCACUGGCCCUAUGGGGAGACCCCUAGACAUGCAUCCAGAGACCCAGUGUCCCCUACCUCUCACCCCCUGUAGGAGCUGUAAGGUCUUUCUGCCCAAGUGGAGACAGAGCCUGCCCCAAGUGGCCUGCCUGACUGGCCCUGGGGGAGCAGGGCACAGGGACCCUUGGGCUGUAGAGGCCCCACCACCAGCAGGAGCUCUGCUUGGGGACUGGAGACCUGGGCCAGAUCUGGAGGCCUGUGCUGGGGAGCCCCAUGGGACUGAUUAGCAGACUGGGAAUGAUCUCUGAAUGCAAGGAUUAGCAGACUGGGGCCUCCCUCCCGCCCCCCCCCCCCCCACAAAUCCCCUCUCUGGGUCCAUACUCCCGCCUUCAGAGAUUCAUCCAUCUGCCAUUCAUCCUCCACAGGACGUCACAAACCUGACCCUGCCUCUCCCCUGCUCUAAACCUCUCUGUGGCUCCCCUACCCUCGGGGAGAAAGCACAAGCGCUUCACCGCCGCCCCCCCCCCCUUCCUCGCGUCCUCCCGGGCAUCUUUCCAGCCUGGGGCGCGCGACUGGGAGGGCGGGGAUUCCUGGGUCCCCCCCUCCCCAGAGCCCACUGGACUGUGAACCCCAGGAGGGCGGGGCCUGGGCGGCCUCCGUCAUCGCUGGGCCUCCAGCCAGGCAGGAGCAGGUCCUGUGAGGGUGCGUGUGGAAGGAAGAUCGGAAAGAAAGCAGAGAGGCCCAGCGGUUUAGCGCCGCCUUCAGCCCAGGGCGUGAUCCUGGAGACCUGGGAUCGAGUCCCGCGUCGGGCUCCCUGCACGGAGCCUGCUUCUCCCUCUGCCUGUGUCUCUUCCUCUCUCGGUGUCUCUCAUGAAUAAAUAAAUAAAAUCUUUAAGAAAGAAAGGAGGGAGGAAGGACCUCUAAACCCCCUGGUUUCAGCUUUCUUCCCUGAACUGCCGCCAUGUGCCCACCAGAGGGCGCGCUGAUCCAGCAAAUCCCUCUUGCAGAGCGAUUAUAGGACAGUGACCACUGCCUAAAGCCCGCCUGCACCCUAGCACUGGUCUACACAGCCUCCACGCGUCUAACUCCACGCAGCAGCUUCGAGUAGCUUAAAAAGGAGGAACGUGAGGCUCAGAGAUGUUGUUUAACUUUCCCGGUGUCACACAGCAACCCAAACUGUAGAGAAGCUUGCAGCUCUGGUAACCCUACAAAGCCUUCUGGUCACCUCCACAAAUCCUCGUGGGCCUGGCCCUGACAUUUCCCCCACUCAGCCACACUCCACUACCCUGAGCAUUUCAGAUAUCCCGUUCUCCAGCCGGCCACUGGAGCCUUUGCAUAUCAACCACCUGGAAAGCACUUCUUCUACCCCACAGAGGGUCACCUCCCCCCUUCUGGCUCAUCUGCUGCAGGAGAGAGAGCAGUGACCCUCACCCAGGAGACCCCCAGAAGUUCUGGGGAGGGAGCUGCCAUUCCCUGAUCCAGAAUCAGCUCCAGCUCUUUUGACCCACAGUCCCUGAAAAUCCAGGCCUUUCCCUGCUAAUGCUCACAACCCUGUGUGACCAUAGUUCUGAGCUUCAGGAUCCACGGCCUACCUCACUCAACAGGUCCCCAGCGACCUGCACAGAUGGGGCCGAGAAUACAUAUUAGAGAAACAUUGAAUGAAUGAACUCCCUGGGGUGGGGGUGACUUCAGCGAGCACCUAAAUGGGUGAAUACUCUUCACUCAACCAGGAAUCAGAGAUUCUCCCCCAAAACACUCACAGGCAAGGAGAGGUCCCAUCCUCCCUUUUGGGCUCUCCCCAGUCCAAGUACAGUGAAGCUCACUACUGUCCUUCAUCCCCUUGGGACAGAAUUUCCAGCUUUUCUGGCCCAGUGUCCACCUCCAUCUCCUACCUGGUUCACCUCCAUUUUCUUUGGAGAGCCCUCCUCCCCUGCCUAUGACCAGGUGGUUCCUGGGGGGGCACCACUAACCCUCCCACCCAUGCCUUGCCCUUGCCCCUCCCCCAGACCCAUGGGCAGGCAAGUUGUCAGUUGUAGUGUUUGCAGGACAGACCCAUGUUUGGGCAGCCUGGUAGCUCAGCCACUAGGUAGCCUGAGGAGAAAGAAAUCAUGAUUCUGGGGCACCCGGGUGUCUCAGUCGGGUAAGCAUCUGCAUUGGCUCAGGUCAUGAUCCCAGGGUCCUGGGAUCAAGCCCUGAGUCAGGUUCCCUGUUCAGUUCUCCCUCUCACUCUGCCUGCCACUCCCCCUGCUUCUUUCUCUCUCUCUCUCUCUCUCUCUCUCUCUCUCUCUCUCUCUCUCUCUCUCUCUCUCUCUUUCAAAUAAAUAAAUAAAAUCUUAAGAAAGAAAGAUAGUUAAGGGGCACCUGGGUGGCUCAGUUAGUUGAGCAUCUGCCUUCAGUUCAGGUCAUGAUCUCAGUGUUCUGGGAUCGAGCCUCACAUCUGGCUCCCUGCUCAGUGGGGAGCCUGCUUCUCCCUCUCCACCUCCCCCCACCUGCUCAUGUUUUCUCUCUCUUUCUCUCUCUCUCUCUUCAAAUAAAUAAAAUCUUAAAAAAAAAAAAAAGGAAAGAUAGUUAAAUCACUGAUUUCCCCUCUGAUAUUUUGCCCAGAGGGAAGGAGAGGAAGAACAUUGUU
rnacentral:lncRNA from 1 species